rnacentral:tRNA from 1 species
CCGCUUUUAGCUCAAUAGGAAAGAGCGAUGGCCUUCUAAGCCGUAGGUUAUACGUUCAAAUCGUAUAAAGCGGA